rnacentral:lncRNA from 1 species
UCGACGGGCGCGGCGGCCGGCGCGUUCGACCUGGGCGCCGGGCACGUGGACCCGAUGCGCGCCAUGGACCCGGGGCUGGUGUACGACAUCGGCCCAAGCGACUACGUGAGCUUCCUCUGCAACCUCAACUACACGGAGCGGAACAUCCGCGCCGUCACGCGGCGCCCGGCGGACUGCCGCGGGGCCCGGCGCGCCGGCCACGCGGGCAACCUCAACUACCCGUCCCUGUCCGCCACGUUCGUGGCCGCCGGGGCGGCGGCGGCGGCGGCGGCGAGUAGGACGCACUUCAUCCGGACGGUGACCAACGUGGGCGGCGGGAGCGCGGUGUACCGCG